rnacentral:rRNA from 1 species
UGGAUCCAGACUCUGAUUAUGGCUCAGGAUGAACGCUAGCUACAGGCUUAACACAUGCAAGUCGAGGGGAAACGACAUCGAAAGCUUGCUUUUGAUGGGCGUCGACCGGCGCACGGGUGAGUAACGCGUAUCCAACCUGCCCAUCACUUGGGGAUAACCUUGCGAAAGUAAGACUAAUACCCAAUGACGUCUCUAGAAGACAUCUGAAAGAGAUUAAAGAUUUAUCGGUGAUGGAUGGGGAUGCGUCUGAUUAGCUUGUUGGCGGGGUAACGGCCCACCAAGGCAACGAUCAGUAGGGGUUCUGAGAGGAAGGUCCCCCACAUUGGAACUGAGACACGGUCCAAACUCCUACGGGAGGCAGCAGUGAGGAAUAUUGGUCAAUGGGCGAGAGCCAGAACCAGCCAAGUAGCGUGCAGGAUGACGGCCCUAUGGGUUGUAAACUGCUUUUAUAAGGGAAUAAAGUGAGUCUCGUGAGACUUUUUGCAUGUACCUUAUGAAUAAGGACCGGCUAAUUCCGUGCCAGCAGCCGCGGUAAUACGGAAGGUCCGGGCGUUAUCCGGAUUUAUUGGGUUUAAAGGGAGCGUAGGCCGGAGAUUAAGCGUGUUGUGAAAUGUAGACGCUCAACGUCUGCACUGCAGCGCGAACUGGUUUCCUUGAGUACGCACAAAGUGGGCGGAAUUCGUGGUGUAGCGGUGAAAUGCUUAGAUAUCACGAAGAACUCCGAUUGCGAAGGCAGCUCACUGGAGCGCAACUGACGCUGAAGCUCGAAAGUGCGGGUAUCGAACAGGAUUAGAUACCCUGGUAGUCCGCACGGUAAACGAUGGAUGCCCGCUGUUGGUCUGAAUAGGUCAGCGGCCUAGCGAAAGCAUUAAGC